GUAUAAGAGACAGCAGCCGCCGCGGUAAUACAGAGGGUGCGAGCGUUAAUCGGAUUUACUGGGCGUAAAGCGUGCGUAGGCGGCUAAUUGAGUCGGAUGUGAAAUCCCCGAGCUUAACUUGGGAAUUGCAUUCGAUACUGGUUAGCUAGAGUGUGGGAGAGGAUGGUAGAAUUCCAGGUGUAGCGGUGAAAUGCGUAGAGAUCUGGAGGAAUACCGAUGGCGAAGGCAGCCAUCUGGCCUAACACUGACGCUGAGGUACGAAAGCAUGGGGAGCAAACAGGAUUAGAUACCCGCGUAGUCCCUGUCUCUUAUAC
rnacentral:rRNA from 1 species